rnacentral:rRNA from 1 species
UACGGAGGGUGCAAGCGUUAUCCGGAUUCACUGGGUUUAAAGGGUGCGUAGGAGGGCAGGUAAGUCAGUGGUGAAAUCUCCGAGCUUAACUUGGAACUGCCGUUGAUACUAUCUGUCUUGAAUAUUGUGGAGGUGAGCGGAAUAUGUCAUGUAGCGGUGAAAUGCUUAGAUAUGACAUAGAACACCAAUUGCGAAGGCAGCUCGCUACACAAAUAUUGACUCUGAGGCACGAAAAGCGUGGGGAUCAAACAGG